rnacentral:ncRNA from 1 species
AAUAGGCUUGGUCCUGGCCUUUCUAUUAGCUCUUAGCAGGAUUACACAUGCAAGCAUCCCCGCUCCAGUGAAGACGCCCUACAAAUCAUCAUGACCAAGAGGAGCAAGCAUCAAGCACGCACACGCAGCUCAAAACGCUUUGCCUAGCCACACCCCCACGGGAGACAGCAGUGACAAGUAUUUAGCAAUAAACGAAAGUUCAACUAAGCCAUGCUAUAUUUAGGGUUGGUCAAUUUCGUGCCAGCCACCGCGGUUACACGAUUAACCCCAGCUAAUAGGGAUCGGCGUAGAGGGUGUUUAAGAUCUAACAUAAUAAAGCUAAACUCCACCUAAACUGUAAAACCCUAGCUAAUGUAAAAUAAACUACGAAAGUGGCUUUAAAGCUUCUGAACACACAAUAGCCAAGACCCAAACUGGGAUUAGACACCCCACUAUGCUUGGCCCUAAACCUCAGUAAUUAGAUAACAAAACUACUCGCCAGAAUACUACAAGCAACAGCUUGAAACUCAAAGGACUUGACGGUGCUUUACACCCCCCUAGAGGAGCCUGUUCCGUAAUCGAUAAACCCCGAUCCACCCUACCCUCUCUUGCUCAGCCUAUAUACCGCCAUCUUCAGCAAACCCUAAUGAAGGCCACAAAGUGAGCGCAAACGCCACCGCCGCGAAUACGUUAGGUCAAGGUGUAGCCCAUGAGACGGUAAAAAAUGGGCUACAUUUUCUAUUUCAGAAAACCCACGAAAACCUUUAUGAAACUUAAGGGUCCAAGGAGGAUUUAGCAGUAAAUUAAGAAUAGAGUGCUUAAUUGAACCAGGCCAUAAAGCGCGCACACACCGCCCGUCACUCCUCUCAAAUAUAUUUAAGGAACAUCCUAACUAAACGCCCUAAUAUUUAUAUAGAGAGGAUAAGUCGUAACAUGGUAAGCGUACUGGAAGGUGCGCUUGGAUAAAU